ACGUACCUUCCGUUCCGUAGCACCGUGGAAAUGAAGUGAUUUGAACUGGAGUGGAGUGCAGGUGUUCUAGGGUUGCCAUCCCUGCUCCUCCAGUUCUGAAACCCCCCAAGCGCCCACCUCCUUUCCCCCACCCUGGGAGUUACCACGCACUGGCCGCAACGCCACCGUUGCCAAGCAAACCAACACUGCAACCGAACGAAUGCUGAGCGUUGUCUCAUUUUAGUUUAGUGGUGGCUUGAACCUGAUUUCAUUGAGAUUGCUCAGUGACGGCGGUGUUGCUCGGUGUUGCUGCUGAGAAGGCAGAAGCGGGGAGUCAGAGGGGGUGAGA